rnacentral:rRNA from 1 species
GAUGAACGCUGGCGGCGUGCCUAAUACAUGCAAGUCGAGCGAACAGACGAGGAGCUUGCUCCUCUGACGUUAGCGGCGGACGGGUGAGUAACACGUGGAUAACCUACCUAUAAGACUGGGAUAACUUCGGGAAACCGGAGCUAAUACCGGAUAACAUGUUGAACCGCAUGGUUUAACAGUGAAAGACGGUCUUGCUGUCACUUAUAGAUGGAUCCGCGCCGCAUUAGCUAGUUGGUAAGGUAACGGCUUACCAAGGCAACGAUGCGUAGCCGACCUGAGAGGGUGAUCGGCCACACGGGAACUGAGACACGGUCCAGACUCCUACGGGAGGCAGCAGUAGGGAAUCUUCCGCAAUGGGCGAAAGCCUGACGGAGCAACGCCGCGUGAGUGAAGAAGGUCUUCGGAUCGUAAACUCUGUUAUUAGGGAAGAACAAAUGUGUAAGUAACUAUGCACGUCUUGACGGUACCUAAUCAGAAAGCCACGGCUAACUACGUG